GACAGAGGUGCCAAGCGUUAGGCGGAAUCACUGGGCUUAAAGCGUGUGUAGGCGGACUUCUAAGUACCUUGUGAAAUCCCACGGCUCACCCGUGGAACUGCUGGGUAUACUGGUCGUCUUGAGCCACCUAGGGGCGAGCGGAACAAAUGGUGGAGCAGUGAAAUGCGUAGAUAUCAUUUGGAACGCCAACGGUGAAAACAGCUCGCUGGGGGUGUGCUGACGCUGAGACACGAAAGCCAGGGUAGCGAACGGG
rnacentral:rRNA from 1 species